rnacentral:rRNA from 1 species
UACGUAGGGGGGCAAGCGUUGUCCGGAAUCAUUGGGCGUAAAGAGCGCGUAGGCGGUCCGAUAAGUCGGCUGUGAAAAGUCAGGGGGCUCAACCCCUUGGAAGCCGGCCGAUACUGUCGGACUAGAGUCCGGAAGAGGCGAGUGGAAUUCCCGGUGUAGCGGUGAAAUGCGCAGAUAUCGGGAGGAACACCAAUGGCGAAGGCAGCUCGCUGGGACGGUACUGACGCUGAGGCGCGAAAAGCGUGGGGAGCAAACAGGG